UACGUAGGGUGCGAGCGUUGUCCGGAAUUAUUGGGCGUAAAGAGCUUGUAGGCGGUUUGUCGCGUCUGCUGUGAAAAUCCGGGGCUCAACCCCGGACUUGCAGUGGGUACGGGCAGACUAGAGUGUGGUAGGGGAGACUGGAAUUCCUGGUGUAGCGGUGAAAUGCGCAGAUAUCAGGAGGAACACCGAUGGCGAAGGCAGGUCUCUGGGCCACUACUGACGCUGAGAAGCGAAAAGCAUGGGGAGCGAACAGG
rnacentral:rRNA from 1 species